CCAAUCUCGGGCGCACGUGCUCGAUCCAACGUCCAGAAGGGGCCCAGGGGUGGACGGGAUUUCAAAUACCGUCCACCCCCGGUCGGUAUUCGGGGUGCCGUCCGCCCCCGCUGCAUGCCGUGACUCGCCGGCGAGCCCCCGUGUCCCGGAGCUGCUGGACGGUCCUGACUCCGGCGACCUCGAUUCCGGCGAGGAGGACGGUGGCGGACGAGCGGCAGCAGGAGCGCACCUCGACCAGGGGGCAUAUGCAAAGUACACAUGCCAAUUCCUGAUGCAAUCGCCAGCGUACCAACCUACCAGGUGUUCGCUACUUUGCCUACAAGAGGGAGGCCAGGGGUGGGUGUUGAUCUCACCUUCAUGCAGUGUAUGGGCAGCGGAGUUUUUUGUGGACGGCAUCAAAUCCUUUUCAAGAUCAGUCAGCUACAGUUAAGAGGAGCGUUCUGAUCUGCACCCUUUGGUGCAUAUAGAAAUGUCGCAAUGCCAAGGUUUUCAGAAGUGAGGAUGCUACAAAGCUGAGGACAAGGAUUGGUUAUUAGAGUGGAGCAAUUUUUUCCCAUGUGCCUUUUUUUUUGCUUUAAGGUCCUUUUGCCUUCUGCUCUUGCUUCUUAUUUCCCUCGUGUACUCUCUCUGAUCAGGUUUUUCCUGAUUUUUAAGUGUUUGUAAAUUAUUGUUUUUUUUACAAUAAAAGCUCAGGCAACCUUCAAUGGC